GGAACUUGAAGGACCAUCUCGCCUUGCAAAGUGUCUGACAAGCUUGCUCAUGAUACUCUACAGACUCAGGCUCACAGGAAGUAGUUCUCCACAAAUUCUGAGAAGGUUUCACUGAAGACAUGGUUAUCACACCUAGCUGGUGAGUCUGACUACUCAUGAGGUUGGAACUCAAGCACUAAAGCCAUCCUUCCUCCCUACAUCCCAAGAAGCUGACACCAGAGGAGUCCACUUCUCUCAGCCUAUGAGUGCUUUACUUCACACAAUGUUAUGCCCUUUUACAAAAAUAGUAAAAGUAUUGUCCACCUUCAGCUCCAGACAUCUUACAGCCAGAUAUGUGUGAAAUUUAUUUUCUUUACUAAUUGCUUUGAGGAAACUUUCCAAGACAAUGUGAAAUGGAGAUGAUAUAGGUGAAUGAAUAUUCUUGGUUACUAUUUAACAGAUGUACUAUCCUUUAAGGAUCCAUACAUGUCCUAAUUUCUUACAUAAUAAGUAAUGUUUUCUAUAUGUUGGAGGGAUUUAUUUUGAUUAACUCUCAUUAUUUCCAGGUAAUUAUCAUUAGGCUUGUGCAUUUAUAAUUUUCUUUCCUUUUAUACUUUUAACUAUUUUAUUAUCAAAUAGACCCCAAGGGAUGAUUUUGAAUGUUAUUUAGUAGUCCAAAUUUUUAUAUGGCUACUUCAUCAUAGCUUGUGAAGAUUAUGGUACAGAUUUUGUUUUGCCUCUGAAGAGGCAAACACAGAAACACCCAAACUGUCAGCUUCAUCCCAGAGGGAAAUGGCAUGAAAGGGAACAAAUGUACAUUCAAAGAAGACAUAUAAUAUAUACAACCCUCCUUACUGUGAUGUCAGAGAGACAGAGGAUAUAGUGAUGAGCUCCCAAUUAGAUAACAGUUAGAUAUUAUUGAUAAGCAUGGAAUGCAUGAACUGCUACAACCCUAGAGAGGCUCACCCAGGAGAUCCAUUUACAAAUGGUUUCCCACACCAAAUUUUUAGAUAUGUGCCUUUACAGUCACCCUGCUUGAGAAUUAGAUAUGAGCAAAGUCUCCAGCUUUAAUCAACAGUCUAUGUCAUGAGAAUAUGAGUUUCACCUAUUGUGUUUAUUAGGAAACACCAAAUCGGAUUCUUGUUUCCAAGACCAAGAGUUGAGUUGGUAGUGGAGUUGGGCCAGAUCCAAACAUUCAUGAAUAUCAGGAUACUUCAUCUUCUGUUGUGAGUGAAACACAGGUAAUCACUAUUCCUGAUAUUAGGCCAAACAGAUUGAACAAGGCAGCAUUAGACACAAUCUUUAAGUUUUAUCAAAUACUUUGUAAUGCUGUUUCAUAUUUCCAGGGAAGGUUAGAUUUUAUUUACAUUUGUCUAGUUCUUGACAUGGUUUUAUUCCAGCAUAUGUAUUCAUAAAAUCCUGAUUUUCUCUCUUUCUCUUCAGUGGAUAUUUCAUGCAUAUAAUGUUACUUGUUCAUGUAUGUUAUACAUUUUGCCAUUUAUUGAUGUUUUUCUUGUAGUAUAUUUUGAUCAAAUUUUCCUGCUCCCAACUCCACCAAGUUCCUUCUCAUCUCCCUGCCCUCCCUAAUUCAUGUUAUUUCUAUUCUCUCUCUUAAGGAAAAAAAAUAAAAUGAAAACAAAGACUAAAGCUAGUAAAACAAAAACUACCACAAUAAAAUGUGAACACAUACUGAAAGCAAGAAUUACAUUUGGUAUUGACCAACAACUCUUGGGCAUGGUGUCAUCCCUGCAGGGUGGUUCCUAUUCUCAGCAACAUUCAAUUUGAAAAUCAGAUUGUUUCUUUUCCAACAGAUACAAAUUGAAAAUUGAUUCCUGAUUAGAACUUUGGGUUCACAUGUUUAAAUAAUGCUGGGAUUUAUCUAGUUUGAACUUGUGUAAGUCUUUUUUUAUAACUAUUACUGUAGAAGUUUUUAAAAAUAUAUUCAUAUAUGAAAAUAAUUUAAAUGCAGUCACCAUAUAUAAAGGAGACAAUUCCCCAACUAGACAUAUUAUGCCACAAAUCCUUUAGCAGCAGUAAUUGGUUAAAUCUUGUUGCCAUAUUAGCUCUAAAAUUUAUGGCAUACCCUUAUUAAUUAUUAUGGUAUAAUGCAGUUAUGUAUCCUUAACUACUGAUUGCUGAGUCUAUUAGUUGAUUCUCUUAUAUUUUUGUUUAGGGCUGAUGUCUUGAGACUUAAUAACUCAUCAAGGGACUUGUCCCAGAAGAAGACUGAUUCUCUGUCUUAACAUUCAUUAAUUCCCUAUAGCUCUUCAGCUAGUAUUGAAGCCUGUGAGAUUUCUGACAAUCACGAUGUCAUGAGAACUUGUUGAGUCAUUUUGUUAAUCUUCUUUAGACAUCUCUAUUGUUGAGAUUUUGUGGCUGCAUCUUCCAUAUUAUAAAUAAAAGACAC